AUUCCUACGGGAGGCAGCAGUGGGGAAUAUUGCACAAUGGGGGGAACCCUGAUGCAGCGACGCCGCGUGAGUGAAGAAGUAUUUCGGUAUGUAAAGCUCUAUCAGCAGGGAAGAAGAUGACGGUACCUGACUAAGAAGCCCCGGCUAACUACGUGCCAGCAGCCGCGGUAAUACGUAGGGGGCAAGCGUUAUCCGGAUUUAUUGGGUUUAAAGGGUGCGCAGGCGGCACGGCAAGCCGGCGGUCAAAUCGCGGGGCUCAACCCCGCCCAGCCGUCGGAACUGCCGGGCUAGAGUGGGCGAGAAGG
rnacentral:rRNA from 1 species